AGCAGCCACUCAUUAAAAGAGUGCGUAAUAGCUCACUGGUCGAGUGACCCUGCGCGGAAAAUAUAACGGGGCUAAGCGUCCAACCGAAGCUUGGGAUGUCUAAGGACAUGGUAGGGGAGCGUCGUGUAUAGGGAGAAGCAUGAGCGAGAGCACAUGUGGACAGUACACGAGUGAGAAUGCCGGAAUGAGUAGCGAGAAUUAUGUGGGAAUCAUAAUGGCCGAAAAUCUAAGGUUUCCUGGGGAAGGUUCGUCCGCCCAGGGUUAGUCGGGAGCUAAGGCGAGGCCGCGAGGCGUAGUCGAUGCACAUACGGUUGAAAUUCCGUAACCACCUUAUCGAAUGAAAGCUGACACUUGGAAAUAGCGGGACCCGGAGAUUGGUAGAUCCGGGCGUAAGGGACCGAAUACGAGUAGGGAAGUCCGCGAUGUUCCGAGGCGAGAAAAGGCGAAGGUAGGGUGCCCGUACCGCAAACCGACACAGGUAGAUGAGGAGAGAAUCCUAAGGCCAACGGGAGAAGGGUUGUUAAGGAACUCGGCAAAUUGACCCCGUAACUUCGGGAUAAGGGGAGCCUCCUACGGGAGGCCGCAGUGAAUAGGCCCAAGCAACUGUUUACCAAAAACACAGGUCUCUGCUAAAUCGAAAGAUGACGUAUAGGGGCUGACGCCUGCCCGGUGCCGGAAGGUUAAGAGGAGAGCUUAGCGCAAGCGAAGGUUCGAAUUGAAGCCCCGGUAAACGGCGGCCGUAACUAUAACGGUCCUAAGGUAGCGAAAUUCCUUGUCAGGUAAGUUCUGACCCGCACGAAUGGCGUAAUGAUUUGGGCACUGUCUCAACAGCCCGCCCGGCGAAAUUGUAGUACUGGUGAAGAUGCCAGUUACCCGCAACUAGACGGAAAGACCCCAUGGAGCUUUACUGCAGCUUAAUACUGGAAUUCGGUAAUUCAUGUACAGGAUAGGUGGGAGACUGGGAACUACUGUCGUCAGGCAGUAGGGAGUCGCCCUUGGGAUACCACUCUUGAAUUGCUGGGUUUCUAACCUGCGGCCGUGAAUCCGGUCGGGGGACACUGUUAGGCAGACAGUUUGACUGGGGCGGUCGCCUCCUAAAAGGUAACGGAGGCGCUCAAAGGUUGGCUCAGCACGGACGGAAAUCGUGCAAUGAGUGUAAACGUAUAAGCCAGCCUAACUGCGAGAGUGACGGCUCGAGCAGUAACGAAAGUUGGAGUUAGUGAUCCGGUGGUAUGUGAGUGGAAAUGCCAUCGCUCAACGGAUAAAA
rnacentral:rRNA from 1 species